rnacentral:rRNA from 1 species
AUUGAACGCUGGCGGCAUGCCUUACACAUGCAAGUCGAACGGUAACGCGGGGCGACCUGGCGACGAGUGGCGAACGGGUGAGUAAUGUAUCGGAACGUGCCCAGUUGUGGGGGAUAACUGCUCGAAAGAGCAGCUAAUACCGCAUACGACCUGAGGGUGAAAGCGGGGGAUCGCAAGACCUCGCGCAAUUGGAGCGGCCGAUAUCGGAUUAGGUAGUUGGUGGGGUAAAGGCUCACCAAGCCGACGAUCUGUAGCUGGUCUGAGAGGACGACCAGCCACACUGGGACUGAGACACGGCCCAGACUCCUACGGGAGGCAGCAGUGGGGAAUUUUGGACAAUGGACGCAAGUCCGAUCCAGCCAUGCCGCGUGCGGGAAGAAGGCCUUCGGGUUGUAAACCGCUUUUGUCAGGGAAGAAACGCUCUGGGUUAAUACCUCGGGGUAAUGACGGUACCUGAAGAAUAAGCACCGGCUAACUACGUGCCAGCAGCCGCAGUAACAC